rnacentral:rRNA from 1 species
CUAAGGUUUAGGCAAUAAACAGUGAAACUGCGAAUGGCUCAUUAAAUCAGUCAUAGUUUAUUUGAUGGUACCUUACUACAUGGAUAACUGUGGUAAUUCUAGAGCUAAUACAUGCUGAAAAAUCCCGACUUCUGGAAGGGAUGUAUUUAUUAGAUCCAAAACCAAUGGCCUUCGGGUCCCUAUGGUGAAUCAUGAUAACUGCUCGAAUCGCAUGGCCUUGCGCCGGCGAUGCUUCAUUCAAAUAUCUGCCCUAUCAACUUUCGAUGGUAGGAUAGAGGCCUACCAUGGUGAUGACGGGUAACGGGGAAUAAGGGUUCGAUUCCGGAGAGAGGGCCUGAGAAACGGCCCUCAGGUCUAAGGACACGCAGCAGGCGCGCAAAUUAUCCCCUGGCAACACUUUGCCGAGAUAGUGACAAUAAAUAACAAUGCAGGGCUCUUACGGGUCUUGCAAUUGGAAUGAGUACAAUUUAAAUCCCUUAACGAGGAUCAAUUGGAGGGCAAGUCUGGUGCCAGCAGCCGCGGUAAUUCCAGCUCCAAUAGCGUAUAUUAAAAUUGUUGCCGUUAAAAAGCUCGUAGUCGAACUUCGGGCUCUGUCAGCCGGUCCGCCUUCUUGGUGUGUACUUGUUUGACGGAGCCUUACCUCCUGGUGAACGGCGAUGUCCUUUACUGGGUGUCGUCGCAAACCAGGACUUUUACUUUGAAAAAAUUAGAGUGUUCAAAGCAGGCCUUUGCCCGAAUACAUUAGCAUGGAAUAAUAAAAUAGGACGCGCGUUCCCAUUUUGUUGGUUUCUGAGAUCGCCGUAAUGAUUAAUAGGGAUAGUUGGGGGCAUUUGUAUUCCGUCGUCAGAGGUGAAAUUCUUGGAUUGCCGGAAGACAAACUACUGCGAAAGCAUUUGCCAAGGAUGUUUUCAUUGAUCAAGAACGAAGGAAGGGGGAUCGAAAACGAUUAGAUACCGUUGUAGUCUCUUCUGUAAACUAUGCCAAUUGGGGAUCGGUACAGGAUUUUUAAUGACUGUAUCGGCACCCGAAGAGAAAUCUUUAAAUGAGGUUCGGGGGGGAGUAUGGUCGCAAGGCUGAAACUUAAAGGAAUUGACGGAAGGGCACCACCAGGUGUGGAGCCUGCGGCUUAAUUUGACUCAACACGGGGAAACUCACCAGGUCCAGACACAAUAAGGAUUGACAGAUUGAUAGCUCUUUCUUGAUCUUGUGGUUGGUGGUGCAUGGCCGUUCUUAGUUGGUGGAGUGAUUUGUCUGGUUAAUUCCGAUAACGAACGAGACCUUAACCUGCUAAAUAGACCAGCCGGCUUUGGCUAGCUGCUGUCUUCUUAGAGGGACUAUCAGCGUUUAGCUGAUGGAAGUUUGAGGCAAUAACAG